rnacentral:snRNA from 1 species
AUCGCUUCUCGGCCUUUUGGCUAAGAUCAAGUGUAGCUAUCUUCUCUAAUCCAUCCAUUUACCUGCAAAUGUCAUGAUUUUAUUCUCUUCUAUUGCUGAGUAAUAUUC